rnacentral:rRNA from 1 species
CAGAGGGUGCGAGCGUUAAUCGGAGUUACUGGGCGUAAAGGGCGCGUAGGCGGUGAGGGUAGUGUGAUGUGAAAGCCCCGGGCUUAACCUGGGAAGUGCAUCGCAAACGACCUGACUGGAGUAUAAGAGAGGGUGGCGGAAUUUCCGGUGUAGCGGUGAAAUGCGUAGAGAUCGGAAGGGACGUCGAUGGCGAAGGCAGCCACCUGGCUUAAUACUGACGCUGAGGCGCGAAAGCGUGGGUAGCGAACAGGAUUAGAUACCCUGGUAGUCCACGCUGUAAACGAUGAAGACUAGAUGUUGGUAAGGGAACUUAUCGGUAUCGAAGCUAACGCGAUAAGUCUUCCGCCUGGGAAGUACGGCCGCAAGGUUG